ACGCCUACGGGGCGCAGCAGUAGGGAAUCUUUCACAAUGGGCGAAAGCCUGAUGGAGCAACGCCGCGUGCAGGAUGAAGGCCUUCGGGUUGUAAACUGCUUUUAUAAGCGAGAAAUAUGAUGGUAACUUAUGAAUAAGGAUCGGCUAACUACGUGCCAGCAGCCGCGGUAAUACGUAGGGAGCGAGCGUUGUCCGGAAUUACUGGGUGUAAAGGGAGCGUAGGCGGGACUGCAAGUUGGGUGUCAAAUCUACCGGCUCAACCGGUAGCCGCACUCAAAACUGCAGUUCUUGAGUGAAGUAGAGGG
rnacentral:rRNA from 1 species